rnacentral:lncRNA from 1 species
CAUAGCACCAGCUGUUGGGGAUCGUGCCAAAGCCAGAGCGCACCUCGGUUAACCCUGAGAAUCCACACAGUGGUUCUGCUCGGAGUGCCUACUCCUCCCUCAAGAAAGCCAGCUGGGCCAAAACAGUGGAAUGUUUCCAGGGCUGUAAUACUAGAUUGAUUGCCCUGUCUCUUUCGUCUGUGUGUUCUUCCAUUUCCCACCGUCAACAACAUCCCACCCAACAAGCCACUCCACCUAGAAACCAUUGCAUUGCCAUGUGAAGAACCCAGGCUCACAGACUACGUAUGUAAACGGG